rnacentral:rRNA from 1 species
AAUGAACGCUGGCGGCGCGCCUAAUACAUGCAAGUCGAGCGAGAAGACGUAGCAAUACGUUUGUAAAGCGGCGAACGGGUGAGGAAUACAUGGGUAACCUACCCUCGAGUGGGAAAUAACUAGCCGAAAGGUUAGCUAAUACCGCGUACGCUUCUUGGACUUCGGUUCAGGGAGGAAAGCGAUGCCGAGGGUAUCGCGCUCUUGGAUGGGCUCAUGUCCUAUCAGCUUGUGGUGAGGUAACGGCUCACCAAGGCUUCGACGGGUAGCUGGUCUGAGAGGACGAUCAGCCACACUGGCACUGCGACACGGGCCAGACUCCUACGGGAGGCAGCAGUAAGGAAUAUUGCGCAAUGGGCGAAAGCCUGACGCAGCGACGCCGCGUGGGGGAUGAAGGUCUUCGGAUUGU